ACCGAAAUAGCUCAGUUAGGUGAGCGUUAGACUAUAGAUCUGAAAGUCCCUGGUUCGAUCCCGUGUUCCGGCA
rnacentral:tRNA from 1 species